CCUACAGGCUAGCUAGUGAGCGAGGACGGCCGCUUUGCGUGUUGAUUGGACAAAUUGGACGUCCAUCAGGGUCACACAGGCGGCCUGAAGGGCAACGAGCGCAGGAAGUCGACUUUCCUCACGAGGGCGGUUGAGGCCUGCCGGGAUAUCCCAGGACGGCCGGACCGGCGCUGGGCGUGGCUUCUGACGCCCGCGGCACGCCGGGAAGGAGUUACUUCCAGACGCAGGUUCCGGUUCCGUUGGCGGCGGCCGAUUGUUAAGGUAACGCGCGGCCUAUAGUCCUGCAAUGGCAAGGAGCAGAGCAGUGGCGGGCCUCCGCUUCUCACCAGCAGAGGUGAGCCUCGAACCUGGCGUGUCCGGCCCUGCUCGAGACUCCGGUCUCGAACUCGGCUUCAUGUCCGGACCCGCCGUGCACGUGGACGGCCAAGCCGUGCCCUGCUUCGCGUUGGAAUCCUUAUCUAGAAUGAUUUUAUUUUUAGCAUGAAAAUAUAAUUACUGUGUGUACGUAUGAUGUACGUGCAUGCACCUGCCACAGCGUGUGCGAGUCAGGUCCCUACUUCUGCCUUUUACGAGGGGUCCAGGGACGAGAACUCGGGCUUGCCGGACGCUGUGAUCCCAGGCAGCACACAAGGACAUAGACAAGAAAUGCUGGAAGGCACAGCUGCUCUGAAAGUCAGUCUGUGCCCUCAGCAGCAGAGAGUCUGUUAAAUUGCCUCCAGAAUUGGCAAGCUUUUACUCAUGCUUGCAUUGCCGUUACAGCAUAGAGACAGAUGGUGUGCUACAGUGGUGUCGGGUCUGUCUCGGAUAGGCCAUGGAGCUGUGCAUUAUGAAGAACCCGAGUGCUGUCCUGGGAUCUGGAGUGUGCGGGUGGUGUGGCGGUGCCCAUGGGAGAAGAUAAAACCCUGGAGCAUGGAAGGCCACUGCUGGGUGAUUGAUUGGCCGGCUGUAGGAGGUUCUGCUUAGCCAUACGGGCCCCUUGCUGAUUGGGGGAGCAUGGGAGGAGGACAAGCCAUCACAAGAGAGACCAUGGAUUACUUUAGGACUUCGGUUCUCCGGCACCUGAGGAAUGUCUACACCAUCAGGCUACGACUUAGACGAGAUUGUGUCCAUGAUUGCCUCUACAAUAAAGACUACUCUUACUGUAGAACCAGUAACAGGUAGGUGUGGGCCUGGAGAAAGGCCAGAGAGAAGAGCCUUGGAUCUGUGUGGUUGCAGAGGGACCUCCACGAGGAAGAGUGAAAAGGAGGAAGGAGAGGACAGUGAUGGAAAAUGUCCAAGCCAUAGAGAGGCCAGGUCAGGGCCCAGGCUUCCUGCUUUGGGCAGUGAGGGAAGUGUUGGGGGGAGUUGAUUCCUGUCCACAGGUGCCAGUCGCCUUUUCUGGAGCUUUGGAAAGAGUUGGGGGAAAUUCACCACCGGUUUUCUAGUUGUGAGUGGCCCCUGUGUGUGAGUCUGGGUUCUAGGCUAUCUGGAGAGCUUGUGAAGUAAGCAAAGAUUUAUUUAUUAUGUAUACAAUGUUCCUCCUGCAUGUACUCCUCUAUGCCAGAAGAGGGCACCAAACCUCAUCACAGAUGGUUAUGAGCCAUCAUGGGAAAUGAACUCAGGACCUCUGGAAGAACAGAGGUGUUCUUAACCUCUGAGGCAUCUCUCCAGCCCUCUCCACUGCUUUCUACAGGGCUUGAUUCUGCUUGCUGACAGUGGCUUUUCACCAAAUCGGGAAGUGUAUUGAAUGGUACUUGCUGUUUUUCUCUGUGUACCCACUCUACCAUCAAAGAGGAAAUUUAGAAUCAACGGUCUUGGGCAUUUGCAGUUGUGAGGGCUUGCAGCAAUCACUUGGAAAGCAGGUUAUCUGUCUGGGUCAGGUGCCAAUCAGCAGCAACAAGAUUCUCAGGUUUCCUGGAAUUAGGCUAUUACAGUGAAACUUGGUCUCCACUAUUUAAGAAGGGCCCCUUAACCUCAAGGGUUGUGAUCAAGAGGAGGUGGGAGAGAUGGCUCGGUGGGAAAAUUUAUAGCUUAGCCACAUCAGCAUGAGGACCUGAGUUCAAUGCUCAGCAUCCACGUAAAAUGCUGGACACAGCGAUGUGAAUCUGAUUCUGGCGCUGGGGACGCACAGACAGAAGGGUCCCUAGAGCUUGCUGCUCAGCAGACAAGCCAAUUCAUGAGCUCCAGACUCAAUGAUUGAGACCCUGCCGCAAAAAGUAAGAUGGAAAGUGAUUGAGGAAGACAUGCAGUGUUGACCUUUGGCCUCCACAUGCGUGUGCUUGUGAACACGUGAGUAUACCACAAACGCAGACAGACACA